rnacentral:rRNA from 1 species
UACGAGGGGGGCAAGCGUUGUUCGGAAUUAUUGGGCGUAAAGCGUGCGCAGGCGGUUCGUUGUGUCGGUGGUGAAAGCCCCGGGCUUAACCUGGGAAUGGCCAUGGAAACUGGCGAACUGGAGUGUGGCAGAGGGGGGUGGAAUUCCGCGUGUAGCAGUGAAAUGCGUAGAGAUGCGGAGGAACACCGAUGGCGAAGGCAGCCCCCUGGGCUAACACUGACGCUCAGGCACGAAAGCGUGGGGAGCAAACAGG